rnacentral:rRNA from 1 species
UACAGAGGGGGCAAGCGUUGUUCGGAAUUACUGGGCGUAAAGGGCGCGUAGGCGGCCUUCUAAGUCAGACGUGAAAUCCCUCGGCUCAACCGGGGAACUGCGUCUGAGACUGGAAGGCUUGAAUCCGGGAGAGGGAUGUGGAAUUCCAGGUGUAGCGGUGAAAUGCGUAGAUAUCUGGAGGAACACCGGUGGCGAAGGCGGCAUGCUGGACCGGUAUUGACGCUGAGGCGCGAAAGCCAGGGGAGCAAACGGG